AGGGAGGAGGGCAUCAUGAAGCUCGAGGGUGGUUAUGGGGCUCUAUCUUAGCCUGAUUUCUUUUUGUAUAACUAUAUACCACAUAGAAAACUAGUUAAGCAUAAAAUACUUAUUUGGCUCAUAGUUCUAGAAGCUGGAAACCCCAAGAACAUGGUGCUGCCAACGGGAGAGGGUCUUCUUGUCUCGUUCGGACAUGGCAGAAGGCAUGUGGUGAUUCUUGUCUCAUUCGGACAUGGCAGAAGGCAUAUGCGAGGCUCAACUGUGCCCUCCCAUCCUUCCAGAGGCUAAGGCUGAAGAAGUGCUUGGGUCCAGGAGGUCUGGACUAUAGGAUGCUGUGCUGUGGACGUCUCACCUUGCCUAGGGAAGGAGCAAACCAGCAGAGUUCAUUACAGCCACGUUUGUGGACUUUGCUCUCUCAUCUCUCCCUCCCAGUUUGGCUCCCUACGGCUGUCUCCGCUGCUUCCAGCUCUUUAGGCUGUGUGAAGACUCAGACACCAUCAGCACUGAAGUAGACAUCAGCGGAUCCCGUGAGUGGUUAGCAUUUUCAACAUUUCUGUGGAAAGCAACCAGAAAAAUGAACACAAGAGGAGCAGACAGAAUUUUCCCGUGGUGUUUUUGUCUCCCAGCAUGUACUCCUGAUGCUCAGCUUCACGACAAGGCAAGAGAUGCGAUGUUUUCCUCGCCAUUUUGGAAAAAACAAUUCCAAAUUAGUCUUCCUGCCAAUUCCUUUACCCACUGACCUCUCCUCAAAAAAACAAACAACAACAACAAAAACAAAAAACAAAAAACAUAAAAAGGCAUUCGAUCAGAAAGCUGGGCCCCAACCAAGCUCGUGAAGAAUCUCUCUGCCUCACUUCCUCUUUCAUGUCUCUCAGACACAAAAGCCUUUGAGCCACCACAGAAAGGACAUCAAAUGACUUCAUCUCACCAUGUCCAGACGCCUCUUCUGAGUUAUGGCUUUGGCAGUGCCAUCAUUUGUCCCCAAUCCUGUGGCUUCUUUGGCAGAAAAGAAAAUCAGAAAACUGGGGGAUCGAGAGUGUAGUUGAACAGUAGACCUGUUGCUCAGCAUGCAUGGCUCGCCCUGGCUUCCACUCUUAGGAUUGGGAAGAGGGAGAAGUCAAAAGCUAAAGCCCUUCCUCUGGCAAACACAUUGUUUCCUGUCAUGUCACUGAGACCAUAAUAGCUGACAGAAACAACUUACCAGAGACAAGUAUUACGUUGGCUCAUGGUUUCAGAGAGAGCCUCAUCCCUUGUGGUAGAAAAGGCAUGAUGGAGUUCAAGGUCAGAGGAGCAUGUGAUGAAACUCUUCUCAUGUUGCUGGCCAGGAUGCAUAAAGAAUAAGGUGGGAACCGAGGGCAUGUACAACAUUCCCAAGCUUGCCUCUUGUGUCCUACUUCUCCUAGUCAAGCCUCACGCACAACAGGUUCUGUAGUCACCUACCCCUGCAAGCUAGGAACAGGGCUACCAGUGUGGUCAUAUAUGCUCAAAACCUUAGCUCACAGACAACAUUUCAUAUUUAACAGCAAUGGCCAGAAUGUAAGUUAUAGCUGGCAUCAGUAAAAGAGAAGAAAAAUACAUGUGAGACAUAAGCGGUUGGAUUCAGUUAAGACAAUGGCUUUGGCUCAGUAAGAGAGCCUCGAAUGAAUACAGUUUGACUGUAGAUUUUAUGGUGAGAUUAUGAGUACCCCUAUGGGAAAUGCAAAAGACUCUUUGUUAAUUAUAGUUUUGGAAAAUGUUGUAGCAAACAUAUUUCAAGUCCAUUAAACACUGUCAGGGUGGACAGGAUUCCUUCUGGUGACAACUGGGCAAAAGCAAGGAGAAAAAAGUUCCUGUCCAUUUCUGGUUGAUGAUACAAAUUAGAAAAGCUAAAAUGGUCAAAAGGCUAAUGACCCCCCUGGGAACAAAAAUUGUUCUUUGUUGAAAGAAACGGAGGUAAGAAGUAAUGAUGAACUAUUGGAAGAUGAGCCUUUUAGAAAGCAUAUAUCUGCAAAAUUCCCUAAUGCAUUUAUUAGAUGAAGCCAUGCUGUUGCCAAAUCUGGCCCUAGAGUGAUGGAGAGGCCACACUGCGAAGAUCUGGAAGCCUACUCAGUUUCUGAAGGAUGGUGGCACUUGUUGACCACAGAGGCAUAAUCGCAGAGGCGACAUGGCGUCUGAGUCAACUUUGGGUUGGUUUUCUCACAGUUUCUUUUUAAUGCUUCUGAGUGCUGGCUGGUGUUCAUUCUUUCUCUCCAGUUUCAGACACUGGGGAGCAGCAAUACUCUGACCAAGCUUUCUGAAGAGGUUCACGGCCAAGUGAAACAAAAAUAUUCGGAGCCAAUUUGAAAAACAAUUGGUCCUGGUAGACACUUGUUUUACUAAGGGGUGGAAAUGAAACUGGGCACAUCACACUACCCUCCAGGGCUGGGAGAGGAUUAACACUGCCACAGACCAAGGGAGACUUGUCACAUAAGUAGGGAACUGGUGAGCCUCACAGGGAGAAACUGUUUUCUGGGGACAUGACCAUCAGCAGAUUGUAGCCCUCUCAUCAGGACCUUAGCAAAGGCCAUUUAGCAAAAGUCUCACGUUUUCAGCUGUAGAAUGGGUAACACCUACCUCACAGGACUAUUUUGAGAACUAAACAAGGAAGUAAGUAAAAUGCCAAUCAAG